rnacentral:rRNA from 1 species
AUUGAACGCUGGCGGCAGGCCUAACACAUGCAAGUCGAACGGUAACAGGAAGAAGCUUGCUUCUUUGCUGACGAGUGGCGGACGGGUGAGUAAUGUCUGGGAAACUGCCUGAUGGAGGGGGAUAACUACUGGAAACGGUAGCUAAUACCGCAUAACGUCGCAAGCCCAAAGAGGGGGACCUUCGGGCCUCUUGCCAUCCGAUGUGCCCAGGUGGCAUUCGCUAGUAGGUGGGGUAAAGGCUCACCUAGGCGACGAUCCCUAGCUGGUCUGAGAGGAUGACCAGCCACACUGGAACUGAGACACGGUCCAGACUCCUACGGGAGGCAGCAGUGGGGAAUAUUGCACAAUGGGCGCAAGCCUGAUGCAGCCAUGCCGCGUGUAUGAAGAAGGCCUUCGGGUUGUAAAGUACUUUCAGCGGGGAGGAAGGGAGUAAAGUUAAUACCUUUGCUCAUUGACGUUACCCGCAGAAGAAGCACCGGCUAACUCCGUG